rnacentral:rRNA from 1 species
AGUGAACGCUGGCGGUAGGCCUAACACAUGCAAGUCGAACGGCAGCACAGUAAGAGCUUGCUCUUACGGGUGGCGAGUGGCGGACGGGUGAGGAAUACAUCGGAAUCUACUUUUUCGUGGGGGAUAACGUAGGGAAACUUACGCUAAUACCGCAUACGACCUACGGGUGAAAGCAGGGGAUCUUCGGACCUUGCGCGAUUGAAUGAGCCGAUGUCGGAUUAGCUAGUUGGCGGGGUAAAGGCCCACCAAGGCGACGAUCCGUAGCUGGUCUGAGAGGAUGAUCAGCCACACUGGAACUGAGACACGGUCCAGACUCCUACGGAAGGCAGCAGUGGGGAAUAUUGGACAAUGGGCGCAAGCCUGAUCCAGCCAUACUGCGUGGGUGAAGAAGGCCUUCGGGUUGUAAAGCCCUUUUGUUGGGAAAGAAAAGCAGCAGGUUAAUACCCCGCUGUUCUGACGGUACCCAAAGAAUAAGCACCGGCUAACUUCGUG